rnacentral:rRNA from 1 species
GAUGAACGCUGGCGGCGUGCCUAACACAUGCAAGUCGAGCGGCAGCGAGGGGUGCUUGCACCCUGUCGGCGAGCGGCGGACGGCUGAGUAACGCGUGGGAACGUGCCCCAAAGUGAGGAAUAACUGCCCGAAAGGGUAGCUAAUACCGCAUAUUAUCUUCGGAUCAAAGGAUUUAUCCGCUUUGGGAGCGGCUCGCGUCGGAUUAGGUAGUUGGUGAGGUAAUGGCUCACCAAGCCGACGAUCCGUAGCUGGUCUGAGAGGAUGACCAGCCAGACUGGAACAGGGAACCGGUCCAGACCCCAAGGGGGGGCGGGAGGGAGGAAUCUUCCAAAAGGGGCGAAAGCCUGAAGGGGCAAGGCCGGGGGGAGGACGAAGGCCUUGGGGUUGAAAACUGCUUUUAAAAGGGAGGAAUAUGGGGGUAAUUUAAAAAAAAGGAUGGGCAAAUAAGGG